rnacentral:rRNA from 1 species
UCCUGGCUCAGGAUGAACGCUGGCGGCGUGCUUAACACAUGCAAGUCGAACGGAGUUUUAACGGAAGUUUCGGAUGGAAGUUAAGAACUAGUGGCGGACGGGUGAGUAACGCGUGGGUAACCUGCCUCAUACAGGGGGAUAACAGUUAGAAAUGACUGCUAACACCGCAUAAUAUAGUGAAACCGCAUGAUUUUGCUAUCAAAAUAUUUAUAGGUAUGAGAUGGGCCCGCGUCUGAUUAGCUAGUUGGUGGGGUAAAAGCCUGCCAAGGCGACGAUCAGUAGCCGGCUUGAGAGAGUGACCGGCCACAUUGGGACUGAGACACGGCCCAAACUCCUACGGGAGGCAGCAGUGGGGAAUAUUGGACAAUGGGGGAAACCCUGGUCCAGCGAACCGCCGCGUGAGUGAAGAAGUAUUUCGGUAUGUAAAGCUCUAUCAGCAGGGAAGAUAAUGACAGUACCUGACUAAGAAGCCCCGGCUAACUACGUGCCAGCAGCGGC